AAAUGAGAUGACUAAAGAGUGUGUCCAUGAGAGGACCAGGCGGGGGUGAUACAUGCUACGUCACCGAUUUUGAUAAAACUUGGACAGUUUGAAGGGUCCACCUAAAAACACAAAAAGCCAAAAUAGUACAAAAGUUGAAACAACCCACGGGGAGUUAGGCCCCCAUCCUUGUUUUAGGCCAAAAAAACUAAAAAAAAGGCCCAAAAUUGCAUAAAAUGUUGACAUCCCUCCUGCUGUCAGAUUUAAACACAGCAAAGUAACAAUCCAUGCCAUCAAAGGUGCAUCCAAGGUUAGUUUAAAACUGGAGUUACAAGGCGUAAGGUGUGACGGGUGUCAGUCCAGGACUGCACAUAUCCACUACGUCACAUGCCUUUUGGCGAAUACCCCAAAAAUAGCAAUAUUCAGACCUGAAUAUCUCCGAUGAGCAACCUCCUUUUUUCAAAAUUCUUUCUUCACAUGAAAGGGCCAUCUGUGGACUUUAUAAAUCAAAAGAAAAAUGCUCUGCCUUUUUAUUAUUUUUGUCGCUGUAACCGCCUAAAUAGUGUGAUCCAGCCAGUGAUUUCAAAUACAUAUCUAUUUCAAUGAUUGGUUGAAACAUAAUGUUUAGGUCAUUUAUAGUGGACAAAUGGAAAUAUAUAUUAUCAUCAAUCAUGUCUACUGAUCAAUUCCAAGCUAGAUUUAAUGUCCUGAGUGCAAUAUAUUCCUUAAGGUAGCUCAAAAUGACAUCAUUGGGUGACAUACACCAGUAUACCCGUAGGUCAAAUAUUUGCAAAUGUGAUA